rnacentral:rRNA from 1 species
AUUGAACGCUGGCGGCAGGCUUUACACAUGCAAGUCGGACGAGUGGCGGACGGGUGAGUAAUGUAUUGGAACGUGCCUAGUAAUGGGGGAUAACCACUCGAAAGAUUGGCUAAUACCGCAUAUUAUUCGAGCGGCCCAUAUCUGAUUAGCUAGUUGGUGGGGUAACGGCCUACCAAGGCGACGAUCCCUAGCGGGUCUGAGAGGAUGACCUGCCACACUGGGACUGAGACACGGUCCAGACUCCUACGGGAGGCAGCAGUGGGGAAUAUUGGACAAUGGGCGCAAGCCUGAUCCAGCCAUGCCGCGUGUAUGAAGAAGGCCUUCGGGUUGUAAAGGACUUUCGGCAGGGAGGCGUUACCCGAAGAAUAAGCACCGGCUAACUACGUGCCAGCAGCCGCGGUAAUAC